UCUCCGUUGGUGAACCAGCGGAGGGAUCAUUACCGAGUUAUACAACUCAUCAACCCUGUGAACAUACCUAAAACGUUGCUUCGGCGGGAACAGACGGCCCUGUAACAACGGGCCGCCCCCGCCAGAGGACCCCUAAACUCUGUUUCUAUAUGUAACUUCUGAGUAAAACCAUAAAUAAAUCAAAACUUUCAACAACGGAUCUCUUGGUUCUG
rnacentral:misc_RNA from 1 species